rnacentral:tRNA from 1 species
GAGCAUUUAACUCAAUUGGUAGAGUAUUUCGUUUACACCGAAAAAGUUAGCAGUUCGAAUCUUCUAAUGCUCA